CUAUGCAUUAAUGUGAUUGAACUACAAAAACAGAGUGCAAUAUGUUCAAAAAAUACUCAACUAAACUUUCCCCCUGUCAUAUCACUGCAAAAGUGUCCUUUUAAACAGAGCCAUAAAGAAAUUUUUUUCAAAUUUCUUUAUUGCACAGGCUUUUUUCAGUUUUACCUUUCUGGGAUUGAACAAUGUUCCUUUCAUAAUGCCAAAGCAUUCCCUUCCCCAGAAAAAUCUCCUUGGACAACUGGUUUAAAAACGUUAUUAAGUCAUAGGGGAGGAAUAAGCGGCCAAAAAGUCACAUUUUUGCAUUGGUUUACGUUGCUUGAUUAGACUAUCUUCAGAGAGCACAUUAUGUGUUUAUAGCUUUAAUUUGUAUUAUGUCAAUGAACCAGUGAAGUGCCUAAAGAGAUGCUUACAACUAUCCAGUAGGACACAACUGCACUGCUUUUUAAACACUUUUUGGUUAGUUAAGGGUGACUUGAAUUGUACACAUACAUGCUAAUUUUUGAAAACUUAUCCAUUUUUCAUAGUAAAUAAUAUAGAUAAAAUUUUCUGUUAGAGUUCCCGCAAAUAUUUCAUUUUAGACUUACUUGUGAUAUAAGAUUUAACUUUUCUUUUGUGAAAGAAUCGUGAACUAGUGUUUCAUGAAAUCAUUUUCCUCUUCCAUUUAUCAUCCUCCUCUGGUACAAUAUAUUGGGUUGCUUUCUUUUAGAUUUUGUUCCAGAUAGGAAAACAAAUAUGACUGUAUACUUAUUAACAUAAGGUAGUUCUGCAUUUUUGGAUUCCAGGAUCCUGUUUGAAAUCUUCCAUGUGAGGAAAAAAUUACUAAUAUUUUUAAAGACAGGGUGGUUUAUUUAAAGAGAUUAUUCAGAGAACUUGUGCCAUAUCUCGUCUGUUUUAUUGCAUAUGCCAUAUGUUAACUUUUAUUCAAUAUUACAUUAUGUAGAUAUGUAAUACAAAGAAAAUAUUUAGGAGAAUGGCAAAACACAAAUGGCAACAUAAAUGUCCAUUUGACUUACCUAACUUCACAACUUUCAAGUUGAGGAUGUCAUUUAUUCUUGAAUUUGUUUUUUUACUAGAUGCUUUCAAUUAAUAGCCCUAUAUUUUUGUGCAGGCGAACUGUAUAACAGGAUAAAAAAUGAUUUGUAUGUAUUGAAAAGGAGGAGAAAUUCUCACAGAACACCAUAUGAGCUUUAGACCAAAAGGGGAAACAAGGUUUAAGUAACUAAAAUGGCCACUUAGUUUGUGUUUAUUUUUUUCCCUGGAAAUGUAAGUAGUUGGAGUUUAGGCUAUGGAAAUAUUAGUGCCUUUAAUAGAUCUCUUUCCUUGCAAAGUUUCUUUUUAGCUCAGCAUUGAUCUAUCUUAUCAAUAGGAAAAUAAGUUGACUUGGAACUAUAAACAAAAACAACACCAUAUAUUUAUGAACCUCAGUGAACCAGCCUAGAAAAAUUGACUUCUGCAGGUGCUAAAGCACCUACUAAUACGCAGCAUGCACAGCAUUUCAGGUUGUGAAUACCAUUUUACAACGAGUUUGCUGUUAACUCUCUUUAUCCAAUGCAAACUUGAAAUUCUGAUGCGGUUUUCCAGGGUGGUAUUUUUUCAGAGUAUUGAAUUUACUAUUUAGUAAUUUAUAGUAUAGCUUUUUAUAUUAAAAUGUGAUAUUUUUAAAAGAGAUAUCUGGUUCAAUUGGUAUAAUGACGUGAUUAUGCAAUAUGCUGAUCUACACCUUGCGCUCACAUUGUGCCAAACUUAAAUGUGCAAGUGUACGUGAGAAAAGCACAUGUGAAUGUGAAUUCUUUAAUUCUUUGCUUAUUAUGUUAAAAUUAGUCUUCAUAGUCCACUGAUGUGUAUGCUUGAAUAAUGUCUAUUUACUUUGGAAUUUCAAGAUUUCCAGCUUCAAUGGUAAUUUAUAAUUUCUCAGAUCACCUUAAGAAAUAUUGAGAUACUCUCCCACCUGAAAAUAAUCUGUUCUUUAACCCACCUGACUAUGGGAGUAGCCAGGCAGGUGCCUCACUGGCUUCUUCAGACGAGGCUUCCUCAGGUGGAUAUAUGACUAUUAGGGGAAAAGAGGCUUUUGAGACAGCUUAUUACCUCCUUCCCCUUUUUGAACUAAGUACAUUGUCUCAGUCCCAGUAUGAAUUUGUCCCAUUUGGGGUAUUUUUAAAAUAAAAGAUGGCUAACAUGGAAUCUGGGGCAUAGCCUUGGCCUUUAAUUAUGGUUGUAAGCCCAAAUAAUGGCAGAGAAACACAGGGCUGUUUUUACAACAGAAAACUCAAUAUAAGUUUUAUAUAAGAAUCCUAUAAAAUUUGAACCAGAGCUCCUAUUUAGUUGUUAUAAUGUCUCCUAAAGAUCUUAAAUGCUUCUAAAAGCUAAUUAUUAUUCCAGAGCAACUUUUUCCUUUUCCCCCUUAUAAAGUUUUUUUUUAAAUCCAAAAUCUUAGAUUUCUGUGCCACAGCAAAAUAAAAUGAUCAACAAUUAAAGAUCUGUACUUAAAAUAGUACACCAUUUUUAGUGGAGGGAGGGUGCAUGCCUAUAUGAUGGUAAGAUUCUUUUGAACUCUAAGGACAAUUCCUCAUGGAAAAAAUAAAUUUCAGUGCAUAUUAUAAAAAUGAUUUGCACUGUGUUAGCAAAAUAAGGUGUUUUAGGUUGUAUUUUAAAGACAAUUCUAAAUCAUUUCUCUGGAAAGCAAGACCUUAAAUUCUUCUCUUUAAUAGAACUGCUUUUAUGCAAAGAGAUGGUCUUAACAUGGACUAAACAGUACAUAACAAUAAUGUUUGUUAUGUAAAUAGUAUAUCACAUUUGCUUAGUAGCACAAUUCAACAGCAGGCUGAAAGUCGUGGCUCCUCUGCUCAGAUUGAGUUUUAAGUUACCUAAUUUAUGUAAUCAGAAUCUAUUCUAGGUGGCCGUCAACGUAAACUGUGUUUCCCUAUUAUAUCCCUCUGGAGACUGAGAAUCAAAUUAAAUAGUCUUUCUUCAAAGCAGUACUGUAACAUGAAUGUAUUUAUCUCAGUCAACAGAACUUAUAUGCCCACUGUAUGUGGAGCUUAUUUCAAUGCUAAUUUGGCUUAGUUAGCAGACCUAGAAUCUGCCCAGGUGAGACCUAGAACAAAAAUAGCUGGGGUGAAAUGGAUAAGAGAGGUAGAGGUAUAUGUCAAGGCAGAGCCCUAUGAGGAAGGAAGAGUUUUCAAAGAAUAUGAGGAACAUAGUGCUGAGAGUGUGGCUGCCUUCAGCACCGUACACCUAAUCUAGAGAAAAUAUUUCCCAUGUGGGAGGUCCUGUCUGCAUUCAGUCCACCCUUUUCUGCCUGCUUCUUCCUCCAAGUGCCUCAACCUCUACAUGCUCACUCUCCUCCCCUUCCCUCAGCCCAUCUUGGUCUAAGCAGCUUUCACAAUCCAAACCAAACAUCACCAGCCACCCGCUGAUAAGUCACCAGCAUUUACUUUCCUGAGUUACUUUUUCUCCAUUCAUUGAGACUAUGGAUUCAUCCCAACUCCUUCUAAAUCCCUCAACCAUCCAGCUAUAUUUUGGCUAACCUUUGCCCUAGACACUCUACCAGAUGUUAAUGCAGUAUCAAGUGUAAAUUGUGUCACCCUAUUCUGUUCUACCCUUUUCCCUGCUGCCGAAAUAUCUUGCUCUCCUCUACCUCAUCCCCAAAGAGCCUAUAAAUUCAGAGUAUCCAACCUUUUCAUGGAUUCACUCACUGUUGUUCAGUAAUACAACUUCCAUAUUUUAAAUAAAUCAUAAAAGAUUUUUGCCUUCUAUCAAAGUAGGAAACUUUAUAUUUAUACAUGAUACAGAAAUUGAACUAUUUCUAUCGUUCAGAAUUUAGCAUAUAACAGGAUUUUAAAGUGAUUGAAUUGCCAUCCUAACUUGGAUUUGUAUUAGGUUAUGAAUGAAUACUGUUGUUAGUCCAAGCUAUUUGAAUGUAAAGUUAAAAUUCUCCAGCAAUCCAGAAUGACUUGUAACCCUUCAGUGGAAUGGGAAAUUUCUGGUAUGCAAAUAGGGUGGUGUUCCAGACAUUUGUUUUAUUGGUGGUGUUUGGGCCUUGAAACACAUUUCUAAUAGAAUGACAUAUGGCAAAGGGUAUUUAGAUGGUCCUAUGGGAUCACAGAAGCCCAUAUGAUUUAAAAUAUAGAUAAAAUAACACAAAAUUGGGUACAUAAGGGUUUAACCAGGCUUUCCUGGGUUAGACUAAGCCUCUAACCUCUGUUCCUAUCCUGUUCUUAUGGGAGGAAAAAAAAUGUUCCAUGGGAUGAAAAGAAAAUGCAUUGACUUUGUAGUCUUUAUUCUCCUAGCCGCACUUCGGGUAUAUCCAGAAGGAAGAGGAAAUGCAAAGAGGAAGAAGAUGUAAUAGUUCUUCUCUCCAGCUAGGUGCACUUGAGGUUGUUCAUAAAUGUAAAAUUAUGUCAGGUUUCUAACAUGGGACACUGCACACAGUUGUCUGACCUGAUGAACCAUCCCAUUUGAAAGUAUAGAUUAUUAUUAUUUCUUGUAGUAUUUGGUUGUUUUCCAUCUCAUUCAUGAACAACUCAACCUGAUAGUAGUAUCCAAUAAAUGCCUUUCAGGGCUCAGGAAUGAAUUGACAUCCUAGUUAAGAAAUGAGACUUAAUAAUGGAGACUGAAUGAGGCGGUUUGUAUUAAAUUAUAUGCCAUGAAGUGUUCAUUUUAGCUUUAACCUAAUUAUGACUGUACCACCAUGAAGUACAGAAUGAAAAAUUAUAUAUAUGGGGGGGAAACAGAAUGAAUAUCUGAUUCUUUUGAAUGCUUGUGGAAAUCUUUGAGAUCGUGCAGGGCAUACCACAAAAUAGCCUUUAGAACAGAUACCCAAUUUUACAGUUCAUAGGACAACAUCAAACAUUAGUAAGUCUAAAUAAGAUGAAUAGAAUUUUUGUUAUGUAAAUUUUGCUAGAACAGUCUAUUUUCUUGCACCCCUCAAGUUAACCUCUUAAAAAAAUGAAUGUAUAAUUUCUACCGAAAGAAUAUCAGAGAGAAUCUCUCUGGCCUAUAGUGUUAAAAUAUUGUUCACAAAUCCUGAUUAGUUAAGUGCAUACAUUAUGAAACUUACAGAAUAAAACUUAUUAUACAUCUCUUUCUUAAAUUAAUAUCUUUACACAUUUUCAACUGGCUCCCCAAGUCUGAUAAGGAAGGAUUAAAAGAAAAAAGAAAUGUAUUAGUUGGGUGGCCAAGGAGUUUCCUUUGUAAUGUUGAGAGACUUCCGCUUUCUGAAUUUCGCUGGUUCUCUAAGGUAAAAGAGUUAAAUAGUACCCUUGUUCACCAAGGAAAGUGAUCCAAACUAUAUAUCUAGUGCAGAUAUUUCCUUUGCAUUAUUUAGUCUUCUCUGGAGAGAAAAUACAGUUUCCCCUUCCUCUUUCUCUUCACAUUUACUCUUUUCAACCCAAAAUAAGAGACAUAGAAAGCAAACCACAGCCAGUUUGGCAUCUUCUCAGUGCUACUAGUAUAGGCACAUACACAUACACAGUCUCAGCAAGGUUAUAAAGAACCCUGUCAGGUCCACUUGCAACAUGGCCUUGCUACUUGGAUUAGCUCCUUUAAGCCUGAAAAUAACUUUCCUGGUCAUGGAAGAACUGGACGCAUCUUUUAACUUAUGAAAUAGAAGUUGAACUUGAAAACUCUUUUUAAAAAAUCCUGGUUUUGCAGGACAGCUACAUAAUGAAUGUAUAUAUUAAGACUGUAGCUGAAUUGCACAUGAAAUCAGAUUGCCAACUUCUUGACUUUCAAUGUUAGACAUUUAUCCUUAAGUUGUGAGCGAUAUAUGUAGCAUGCUGUGAAAUGUCUGUUAUAGCUCUUUAAUUCAUCAGUAUUAAUACAGAAUUAUCAUUUGCGUUUCUUGGUACUUUUUAUUCAAUGUAAUCAGAAGCUGUGAUGUUUUGCCUUUGUAGUCCUGUGCUUUGUUACUGUAAUUUUUUUUUUUUUUUUACGAAGCACGUGACUGGACUAAUGUAAGGCAGAUGACGUGAUCUUUAAGACUGCUAUAUAUAUCAGUCUCUUACUCUAUAAGGUUUUAAAUUAGAAUAAGCUUUUAUCAAAUAGAUAAUUGAUGCAAUUUAGGAUUCACGCAAGUUUCAGUGUCAAAUGGCGGUCUUAUAGUUUCAAUUCUGAAAAUAGCAAACUUAAUAAACAGCCACUUUAAACUUGUUCUGGCAAACCAGACCCUGCUGUAGAUAUAGUCUAAGGUAGUUAACCAUAUAAGCCUUUUCAACUCUUAAUGCCCUCCACAUGAAUCAGCAGUUAAGAAGGUUCUAGAACCCAUGAAAGCUUUUGUAUGUAUUACUAGGUUUUGUUUUUCUUAUGUUUGCUGAUUUUACAGUUCUGACUAAAGCUGACCUAAAUGGAUCAGUUUAUGUGUAAUAUUCUAGUGCUUUAAUGACUCUUUUUUUCUUUGGAGGGAGGGUAACAUUAUUUGGACAGAUGCAGAAGGAACUGUUAGUGAGUCAAGACAAACACAUCUGAAAUAAAGGAACUGUGUAUUAACAUGUUAACAAUUCAUAACUGCACUUUUUAUGACAUUUUGAAAAUCUAUUUAUAGGUACAGAACAAUGGGUUUUGUUAAACUGUAUCACAUUUAUACUUGCAGAAAUUUAUUUCAUUGUUAUUAGUAGGAAUUUUAUUGGUUCAAUAAAAUUGGCAAAACUGAA
rnacentral:lncRNA from 1 species